rnacentral:rRNA from 1 species
AUUUGAAAUCUGGCCCCCCGGCCCGAGUUGUAAUUUGCAGAGGAUGCUUUUGGCGAGGUGCCUUCCGAGUUCCCUGGAACGGGACGCCAUAGAGGGUGAGAGCCCCGUCUGGUCGGACACCGAGCCUCUGUAAAGCUCCUUCGACGAGUCGAGUAGUUUGGGAAUGCUGCUCAAAAUGGGAGGUAUAUGUCUUCUAAAGCUAAAUACCGGCCAGAGACCGAUAGCGCACAAGUAGAGUGAUCGAAAGAUGAAAAGCACUUUGAAAAGAGAGUUAAAUAGCACGUGAAAUUGUUGAAAGGGAAGCGUUUAUGACCAGACUUGGCCCGGUUGAUCAUCCGGCGUUCUCGCUGGUGCACUCUGCCGGUCCAGGCCAGCAUCAGUUCGCCGCGGGGGAAAAAGGCUUCGGGAAUGUGGCUCCCUCCGGGGAGUGUUAUAGCCCGUUGCGUAAUACCCUGCGGUGGACUGAGGUCCGCGCUCUGCAAGGAUGCUGGCGUAAUGGUCAUCAACGAC